rnacentral:rRNA from 1 species
GAUGAACGCUGGCGGCGUGCCUAAUACAUGCAAGUCGAGCGAACGGACGAGAAUCUUGCUUCUCUGAUGUUAGCGGCGGACGGGUGAGUAACACGUGGAUAACCGACCUAUAAGACUGGGAUAACUUCGGGAAACCGGAGCUAACACCGGAUAAUAUUUUGAACCGCAUGGUUCAAAAGUGAAAGACGGUCUUGCUGUCACUUAUAGAUGGAUCCGCGCUGCAUUAGCUAGUUGGUAAGGUAACGGCUUACCAAGGCAACGAUGCAUAGCCGACCUGAGAGGAUGAUCAGCCACACUGGAACUGAGACACGGUCCAGACUCCUACGGGAGGCAGCAGUGGGGAAUCUUCCGCAAUGGGCGAAAGCCUGACGGAGCAACGCCGCGUGAGUGAUGAAGGUCUUCGGAUCGUAAAGCUCUGUUAGUAGGGAAGAACAUAUGUGUAAGUAACUGUGCACAUCUUGACGGUACCUAAACAGAAAGCCACGGCUAACUACGUG